CACGUUGUUGCCUUAAUGAUUUGAUAUUCUCAAAUGCUUUGUCCCUCUUCUCUGUCACAGCUGUCAGAUCAUCCUGUAAAGACUUGAUUUCAGCUUCUAAUCCCUUCACUUUUUCCCUGAGUUGGGUAAUUUUUCCCCUAACUGCCUGCUGCUCUUUUUUAACUCCAUCCAAAUCCACGCCCAUAAGUUUGACCUGGUCUUGAAUAGCUUCUUUCUGGCCCAAUGAAUCCUGAAUCUUUGCUCUCAUAGCAGCAUUAGCAAUUACUUUUUCCCUUGUCCCCUCGAGCUGUUUGAUUUCUCUAAGUAUUUGCUUCUCCUCUGUUAAUGGGAUGCUCUCAUGCUGUAUGCGAUAUUGCAAGCUGUAUAUAAGAUCAUUAAGUUCUUCCUCAGAUGAACAUAGACCACCACGACCUGCAUUGUUUGUGUUCCGCAGCUUACCCAGUGCCUGCUGCAGAGGUUCUAUUUC
rnacentral:misc_RNA from 1 species